rnacentral:rRNA from 1 species
AUUGAACGCUGGCGGCAGGCCUAACACAUGCAAGUCGAGCGGAGCGGCGGACGGGUGAUUAAUGCAUAGGAAUGUGCCUGGCAGUGGGGGAUAACGUCCGGAAACGGGCGCUAAUACCGCAUACUAUCACAUGAGCCUAGGUCGGAUUAGCUAGUUGGUGGGGUAAAGGCCUACCAAGGCGACGAUCCGUAACUGGUCUGAGAGUAUGAUCAGUAACACUGGAACUGGGACACGGUCAGGACUCCUACGGGAGGCAGCAGUGGGGAAUAUUGGACAAUGGGCGAAAGACGGUACCAGCCAGGACGCGUGUGUGAAGAAGGUCUUCGGAUUGUAAAGCACUGUAAGUAGGUAGGGGUUACCAGCAGAUUAAGCACCGGCUAACUUCGUGCCAGCAGCAGCGGUAAUUC